ensembl:lncRNA
UGACACAAUACAAUAAGAACCGGGGGUGGGAUGGGGGUGGUAUGUAAAUUUAUGAACAGGAUGAAAUUAACAGGUGUAAAUUGUUAUUCUGUCUUCUGUGACACAUGUAAGUAUCUUAUUUAGCUUCUAAAGGGCAAUACUAAAAAAAUACCUUUAAACAAACUAAUAACAAUUUACACUGAUAAUCCUAUUAAAAAAUGUACACCACCCUGGAAUUUAAUGUAUUGUGUUACCUUUUUGAACAUCAGUGAAUGUGUGCACCUUAUGUAAUAGUCGUGUACGAGUCCCUCGGCUGUCCUCCGUGUGAAAAGAUGGAUCUCAUAUUAUAGUUACUGUUGGAAAGGGGUCAAAUAUACAGAAGAUGCAGGAAAAGUAAAGAAUGUGCAGGACCUGGAGGAUUUUUCUGAAGAACAGUGGGCAGUUUAACUGCUCAGGACAAACAAGGGACUCAUGAACAACCAUCACAACACAUAAAAAGAGUCGUGGAUCAUCCAGUCUUCUCUUGCGCCCACACUCUCGAUCUGAUGCCAGCUGGAGCCACCUCUUCAUCGUCCCCUCGACCGCCAUCUCUGCAGCAUUAGCCGUGAAGAGGUUUCUAUGAACUGCAGCUUUGGAAUAAUGACAUAUCGUAAGAGGGAGACGGGGAACCACAUGACUGUGUUGUACUGACUAACGAACUCUGCUCUCCUAGAGUCAACCUGAAAGAUGUUCUAUUGGAAAACUCAGAUCUGAUCCUCUUUGUGGACGGGUCAGCAUCACGUGACCCAGAGACAGGUAAAAAUCGUGUGGGCUAUACAGUAGUGACCGUCAGGAAGUCUCUCCUCAAACCUUUCAGCCCGGGCAGCUGAAUUACACGUCCUCAUAGAAGCAUGUAAUUAUGCUAAGGGACAAUCUGUAUCUAUUUACACAGACAGCAGGUAUGCCUGUGGUGUAGUGCAUGAUUUUGGGACAAUUUGGAAACAUAGGAACUUCCUGAUGAGGUCAGGAACACAUAUA